GACGAACGCUGGCGGCGUGCCUAACACAUGCAAGUCGAACGGAGUGUUUCGCUGAUUUGAAGGAAGCUUGCUUCUGAAUUUUCUUGAAACACUUAGUGGCGGACGGGUGAGUAACGCGUGAGUAACCUGCCUCAUACAGGGGGAUAACAGUUGGAAACGACUGUUAAUACCGCAUAAGCGCACAGUACCGCAUGGUACAGUGUGAAAAACUCCGGUGGUAUGAGAUGGACCCGCGUCUGAUUAGCUAGUUGGUGAGGUAACGGCCCACCAAGGCGACGAUCAGUAGCCGGUCUGAGAGGAUGAACGGCCACAUUGGGACUGAGACAGGCCCAAACUCCUACGGGAGCAGCAGUGGGGAAUAUUGCACAAUGGGGGGAAACCCUGAUGCAGCGACGCCGCGUGAACGAAGAGUAUUCGGUAUGUAAAGUUCUAUCAGCAGGAAGAUGAUGACGGUACCUGACUAAGAGCACCGGCUAAAUACGUGCCAGCA
rnacentral:rRNA from 1 species